rnacentral:rRNA from 1 species
AGCGAACGCUGGCGGCAGGCUUAACACAUGCAAGUCGAGCGGGGGAAGGUAGCUUGCUACCGGACCUAGCGGCGGACGGGUGAGUAAUGCUUAGGAAUCUGCCUAUUAGUGGGGGACAACAUCUCGAAAGGGAUGCUAAUACCGCAUACGUCCUACGGGAGAAAGCAGGAGAUCUUCGGACCUUGCGCUAAUAGAUGAGCCUAAGUCGGAUUAGCUAGUUGGUGGGGUAAAGGCCUACCAAGGCGACGAUCUGUAGCGGGUCUGAGAGGAUGAUCCGCCACACUGGGACUGAGACACGGCCCAGACUCCUACGGGAGGCAGCAGUGGGGAAUAUUGGACAAUGGGGGGAACCCUGAUCCAGCCAUGCCGCGUGUGUGAAGAAGGCCUUAUGGUUGUAAAGCACUUUAAGCGAGGAGGAGGCUACUUUAGUUAAUACCUAGAGAUAGUGGACGUUACUCGCAGAAUAAGCACCGGCUAACUCUGUGCCAGCAGCCGCAGUAAUAC